rnacentral:rRNA from 1 species
AACGAACGCUGGCGGCAUGCCUAACACAUGCAAGUCGAACGAGACCUUCGGGUCUAGUGGCGCACGGGUGCGUAACGCGUGGGAAUCUGCCCUUGGGUUCGGAAUAACAGCGAGAAAUUGCUGCUAAUACCGGAUGAUGACGUAAGUCCAAAGAUUUAUCGCCCAAGGAUGAGCCCGCGUAGGAUUAGCUAGUUGGUGAGGUAAAGGCUCACCAAGGCGACGAUCCUUAGCUGGUCUGAGAGGAUGAUCAGCCACACUGGGACUGAGACACGGCCCAGACUCCUACGGGAGGCAGCAGUGGGGAAUAUUGGACAAUGGGCGAAAGCCUGAUCCAGCAAUGCCGCGUGAGUGAUGAAGGCCUUAGGGUUGUAAAGCUCUUUUACCCGGGAUGAUAAUGACAGUACCGGGAGAAUAAGCUCCGGCUAACUCCGUGCCAGCAGCCGC